CCAGGUAGGACAAUUAAAACGGAAAUCUGGCUUCUUCCAGCACAGCAUGGAGCGGGCUACAGAAUUUGCUGCAGUGGGAGGUGGGGCCAGUCUGGCACAGUCUGUGGGUUUGAAAGGAGCUGGGCGGGUUGGGGAAUGCCAGUCAGCCUUUGUAGUUCUGAGCUCAGAGAAGGGGUGACAAAUACUGGGCUUCAGGUCAGAAGCCUGGCUUGAGUGGCUUUUAGAGAAAUCUCCCCCGUGCUCCCUAACUCUUAAAAUGUGCUCAUCACAUCACUGGCCUCCAAUCACAGCAUAAACACGUGUCCUGGAGGCCGUCCUCCAGCAGAGAUUUCGGCAGAGGUACCUGUUGGCUGACUAAUGGGGUCCUUUCCUUUUCCUAUUCCCUAGAAGCUGAAACUGGGCUGAAUUCAAUAUUUUUGCAUAUUUCCUUCUCCCUUCCCACAUGCUUGCAUCUCCCAGACCCCUAGGGUUAAUCCCCAGGACAACCUGCUUUGAAAGAAAAAAUGUGGUGAGCCUACUUGAAGAUUUGGAUCCCAGAGGCCUCUGUCUGUCCCGCCUCAGCCAGACCCAGACAGCCAGCUCAAGGAGAUGGACAUUUACAGAGAAAGCACAAAAAUAAAUAACACCCCCUUCUCCUCCUCGAGUGAUUCAUAAAAGCAAUUAAAUAGAAAGUGCUUCUUCAUCACUGCUCAUGUCCUGUGUUAAAGACAGCUAAGGGUGAUCUGUGUGUGACUAUUGUCAACACUGUAAUAUUUUGAAAUGUAUGUGCAUUUGUUAAAACAGUUUGUACUUAUGGUUCUUCUCCAGAAUAAAUACUAUAUAACUGGCUGA